rnacentral:rRNA from 1 species
GAUGAACGCUAGCGGAAGGCAUAAUACAUGCAAGUCGAACGGAUGUAGCAAUACAUUAGUGGCGCACGGGUGCGUAACGCGUAUGCAACCUACCUUAAUCAGGGGGAUAACUACCCGAAAGGGUGGCUAACCCCGAAUAAUACUAUUGAGUGGCAUCACUUGAUUUUUACAUCUGAGGAGUAUGAAGAUGGGCAUGCGUCUGAUUAGCUAGGUGGUGUGGUAACGGCGCACCAAGGCGACGAUCAGUAGGGGAACGGAGAGGUUGGUCCCCCACACUGGCACUGAGAUACGGGCCAGACUCCUGCGGGAGGCAGCAGUAGGGAAUAUUGGUCAAUGGUGGGAACACUGAACAGCCAUUCCGCGUGCAGGAAGAAGGGUCUCUGACUUGUAAACUGCUUUAGCAAGGGAAGAAAAAGCUCAUGCGUGAGAAAUUGACGGUACCUUGAGAAUAAGCACCGGCUAACUACGUGCCAGCCGCCGCAGUAAAAC